UACGAAGGGUGCAAGCGUUACUCGGAAUUACUGGGCGUAAAGGGUGUGUAGGUGGUUUUUUAAGUCCGUUGUGAAAUCCCUGGGCUCAACCUGGGAAUGGCAGUGGAUACUGGAAAGCUAGAGUGCGGUAGAGGGUAGUGGAAUUCCCGGUGUAGCAGUGAAAUGCGUAGAGAUCGGGAGGAACACCAGUGGCGAAGGCGGCUACAUGGACCAGCACUGACACUGAGGCACGAAAGCGUGGGGAGCAAACAGG
rnacentral:rRNA from 1 species